rnacentral:sRNA from 1 species
AGCCGUAUUCUUAUUAAAGGCAUUAUAAAGUCUCUAAAAGCACGGCUCAAAACCCCAACCACGAUAUUAAGCUCCUCAUUGAGCACUCGUGGUUGGGUUUAUGCCCGUAAGGGCAUAAGGUAGCCCGAAAGGGCUAUC